rnacentral:rRNA from 1 species
GGGAAAAACGGGAGGAAGGUGGGGAUGACGUCAAAUCAUCAUGCCCCUUAUGUCUAGAGCUACACACGUGCUACAAUGGACGGAACAGAGAGACGCAAGACCGUGAGGAGGAGCAAAUCUCAAAAACCGAUCCCAGUUCGGAUUGCAGGCUGAAACUCGCCUGCAUGAAGCCGGAGUUGCUAGUAAUCGCAAAUCAGAAUGUUGCGGUGAAUACGUUCCCGGGCCUUGUACACACCGCCCGUCACACCAUGAGAGUUGGCAACACCCGAAGUCCGUGAGGUAACCGUAAGGAGCCAGCGGCCGAAGGUGGGGUUAAUGAUUGGGGUGAAGUCGUAACAAGGUAGCCGUAGGAGAACCUGCGGCUGGAUCACCUCCUUUCUAAGGAG